GGGUCCAUAGCACAAUUGGCAGAGCACGCCGCUCAUAACGGCAAGAUUGCAGGUUCGAGUCCUGCUGGACCCACCA
rnacentral:tRNA from 1 species